UGCAGUGUCACCUAACGGUAAGGUACUCAGCUCAUAACUGAGGAUAUGCGGGUUUAACUCCCGCCGCUGCGACCA
rnacentral:tRNA from 1 species